rnacentral:rRNA from 1 species
ACUCAAAGGAAUAGACGGGGACCCGCACAAGCGGUGGAGCAUGUGGUUUAAUUCGAGGCAACGCGAAGAACCUUACCUACCCUUGACAUGCUAGUGGACCUUUCCAGAGAUGGAUCGGGCGUAGCAAUACGCUCUAGCACAGGUGCUGCAUGGCUGUCGUCAGCUCGUGUCGUGAGAUGUUGGGUUAAGUCCCGCAACGAGCGCAACCCUUAUCUCCAGUUGCCAUCAGGUUAUGCUGGGAACUCUGGAGAAACCGCCGGUGAUAAGCCGGAGGAAGGUGGGGACGACGUCAAGUCUUCAUGGCCCUUACGGGUAGGGCUACACACGUGCUACAAUGGCUACUACAGUGGGAAGCAAUGUCGCGAGGCGGAGCAAAUCCAUAAAAGUAGUCUCAGUUCGGAUUGCACUCUGCAACUCGAGUGCAUGAAGUUGGAAUCGCUAGUAAUCGCUGAUCAGCACGCAGCGGUGAAUACGUUCCCGGGUCUUGCACACACCGCCCGU